GAGUUGGUAACUCAGUGGUAGAGUGCAUGCUUUGUAUGUAUGAUGUCCUGGGUUCAAUCCACAUGUCGCUGUG
rnacentral:tRNA from 1 species